rnacentral:rRNA from 1 species
UACGUAGGUGACCAGCGUUGUCCGGAUUUACUGGGCGUAAAGAGCGCGCAGGCGGUCGUUCAAGUCGAGUGUGAAAGCCCCCGGCUCAACUGGGGAGGGUCACUCGAUACUGAUCGACUUGAAGGCAGGAGAGGGAAGCGGAAUUCCCGGUGUAGUGGUGAAAUGCGUAGAUAUCGGGAGGAACACCGGUGGCGAAGGCGGGUCUUUGGGCCGAUACUGACGCUGAGGUGCGAAAGCGUGGGGAGCAAACAGG